UACGAAGGGGGCUAGCGUUGUUCGGAAUUACUGGGCGUAAAGCGCACGUAGGCGGACUAUUAAGUCAGGGGUGAAAUCCCGGGGCUCAACCCCGGAACUGCCUUUGAUACUGGUAGUCUCGAGUCCGGAAGAGGUGAGUGGAAUUCCGAGUGUAGAGGUGAAAUUCGUAGAUAUUCGGAGGAACACCAGUGGCGAAGGCGGCUCACUGGUCCGGUACUGACGCUGAGUUGCGAAAGCGUGGGGAGCAAACAGG
rnacentral:rRNA from 1 species